UACGAAGGGGGCUAGCGUUGCUCGGAAUCACUGGGCGUAAAGCGCACGUAGGCGGAUCUUUAAGUCAGGGGUGAAAUCCCAAGGCUCAACCUUGGAACUGCCUUUGAUACUGGGGGAUCUCGAGUCCGGAAGAGGUUGGUGGAACUGCGAGUGUAGAGGUGAAAUUCGUAGAUAUUCGCAAGAACACCAGUGGCGAAGGCGGCCAACUGGUCCGGAACUGAACGCGUGAGGUGGCGAAAAGCGUGGGGAGCAAACA
rnacentral:rRNA from 1 species